GUUUAAGGGUGGCAAGAGGGAGAGGAGCAAGAGGAAAAGAUGAGGAGAGGCGGGUGCCAAGGAUGGAGCCUGGCCAGGUGGGCGUGGCCAGGGAUGGCACACCAUGCACAUGGCAGCAUGGGCGCCCGCCUUCUGGAUUCCAUUAUGUGUGUGGCGAUGGGAGGAGCAGGGAGGCUGGGCACGGCAGGGAGCCAAUGGGAGUGGAAGGGAGAAGACAGGCAUUUCUCUCCUGGGAGAGAGUAAAUUGGGCAUCUAUCUGUUGGGCGAGGCAUUCUUAACUGUGGGGGAAAAAGGCUGGAUAGGAUGACACCGCUCACCUCUUGGCUGAGUGGCUGAUGUGCUCAGGACAUUGGGCAGCAGGGAUGUUGGAGGCCAGCCAGGCCAGCUGUCCUCCACUGGUGCCCUUCUACAGGUGAGGACAUGGAGAUUCAGAGACAAAGUGACUUUUGGUCUUUGGGCUAGAAGAGUGAGGACUAGAACCUAGGGUCCCAGCCUCCCAGAUCAAUAUUCUCACUCUACAUCCUUGCAAAACAAGGAUAGCAGAAAGGCUGAAGUGCUAGGCUAUUCUGGGUCUUGGGGCGAACAUUUAAGCCCUAGGCCUGUCCCCUCUCAUCCCUUCUCCCUCCUCCGGCAGAGGGUGGCUUCUGCUUUUUCUCCUUCUGCAGACGUUUUCUCUCAGCCAGUCAUCGGGGAACCCUGAAUCUCUCAGCUUUGCCCCUCAGGCUGUCACUAGCUCACGGAGGUCCCUAGAAGUGGGUGGCAGUAAGGCAGGCAGGGGAGGGAAUGGAAGGAGGAAGGGAGAGGAUCAGUGAUGUUGAAUCCUCUGGGAGGAACUGGUUGUGACAUGGUUACCUUGUAGGGAAGCAAGUGGGUUGGUGAUUAUAGCUGAGCCUUCUUGUGUGGAAUUGAAUAGGGACAUGUGACCCUCUGGCUCUAUAGUAAUAACCCCCUUCAGCCCUAUCCUC
rnacentral:lncRNA from 1 species